rnacentral:rRNA from 1 species
GAUGAACGCUGGCGGCGUGCCUAAUACAUGCAAGUCGAGCGAACGGACGAGAAGCUUGCUUCUCUGAUGUUAGCGGCGGACGGGUGAGUAACACGUGGAUAACCUACCUAUAAGACUGGGAUAACUUCGGGAAACCGGAGCUAAUACCGGAUAAUAUUUUGAACCGCAUGGUUCAAAAGUGAAAGACGGUCUUGCUGUCACUUAUAGAUGGAUCCGCGCUGCAUUAGCUAGUUGGUGAGGUAACGGCUUACCAAGGCAACGAUGCAUAGCCGACCUGAGAGGGUGAUCGGCCACACUGGAACUGAGACACGGUCCAGACUCCUAUGGGAGGCAGCAGUAGGGAAUCUUCCGCAAUGGGCGAAAGCCUGACGGAGCAACGCCGCGUGAGUGAUGAAGGUCUUCGGAUCGUAAAACUCUGUUAUUAGGGAAGAACAUAUGUGUAAGUAACUGUGCACAUCUUGACGGUACCUAAUCAGAAAGCCACGGCUAACUACGUG